rfam:Triticum aestivum genome assembly, contig: Triticum_aestivum_CS42_TGACv1_scaffold_578919_7BL
AAAGUACUCCCUGCGUCCCAAAAUUCUUGUCAUAGAUUUGUCUAGAUACGGAUGUAUCAAGUUAGAUACGGAUGUAUCAAGUCACAUUUUAGUAUUAGAUACAUCCGUAUCUAGACAAAUCUAAGAUAAGAAUUUUGGGACAGAGGGAGUAGUUG